GACGAACGCUGGCGGCGUGCUUAACACAUGCAAGUCGAACGGAAAGGCCCUGCUUUUGUGGGGUGCUCGAGUGGCGAACGGGUGAGUAACACGUGAGUAACCUGCCCUUGACUUUGGGAUAACUUCACGAAACUGGGGCUAAUAUCGGACAGGAGCUCCUGCUGCAUGGUGGGGGUUGGAAAGUUUCGGCGGUUGGGGCUGGACUGGCGGGUUAUCAGCUUGUUGGUGGGGUAGUGGCUUACCAAGGCAUUGACGGGUAGCCGGCAUGAGAGGGUGGCCGGCCACAAUGGGACUACGAGAGGGACCAGACUCCUACAGUAGGCAACAGGGGGGAAUAUGGCACAGUGGGCGGGAGCCUGAUGAGACGACGCCCCGUGCGUGAUGACGGCCUUCGGGUUGUGAACCGCUUUCGCCUGUGACGAAGCGGGAGUGACGGUAAUGGGUAAAGAAGCACCGGCUAACUACGUG
rnacentral:rRNA from 1 species